GGAAUCUUCCGCAAUGGGCGAAAGCCUGACGGAGCAACGCCGCGUGAGUGAUGAAGGUUUUCGGAUCGUAAAGCUCUGUUGCCAGGGAAGAACGUCUUGUAGAGUAACUGAUACAAGAGUGACGGUACCUGAGAAGAAAGCCCCGGCUAACUACGUGCCAGCAGCCGCGGUAAUACGUAGGGGGCAAGCGUUGUCCGGAAUUAUUGGGCGUAAAGCGCGCGCAGGCGGCUCGUUAAGUCUGGUGUUUAAUCCCGAGGCUCAACGUCGGGUCGCACUGGAAACUGGAGAGCUUGAGUGCAGAAGAGGAGAGUGGAAUUCCACGUGUAGCGGUGAAAUGCGUAGAGAUGUGGAGGAACACCAGUGGCGAAGGCGACUACCUGGCCCAUUCUUGACGCUGAGGCGCGAAAGCUAGGGGAGCGAACGGGA
rnacentral:misc_RNA from 1 species